AGACGAAGGUGGCAACCGUUGUUCGGAAUCACUGGGCAUAAAGAGCACGUAGGCGGCCAUGCAAGUCGGACGUGAAAUCCCUCGGCUCAACCGAGGAACUGCGUCCGAAACUGCUUGGCUUGAGUCCCGGAGAGGGUAACGGAAUUCCCAGUGUAGCGGUGAAAUGCGUAGAUAUUGGGAGGAACACCAGUGGCGAAGGCGGUUACCUGGACGGGUACUGACGCUGAGGCGCGAAAGCGUGGGGAGCAAACAGGAUUAGAUACCCCGGUAGUCC
rnacentral:rRNA from 1 species